GACGAACGCUGGCGGCGUGCCUAAUACAUGCAAGUCGAGCGAAGUUUUUCUGGUGCUUGCACUAGAAAAACUUAGCGGCGAACGGGUGAGUAACACGUAAAGAACCUGCCUCAUAGACGGGGACAACUAUUGGAAACGAUAGCUAAUACCGGAUAACAGCAUAAAUCGCAUGAUAUAUGUUUAAAAGUUGGUUUCGGCUAACACUAUGAGAUGGCUUUGCGGUGCAUUAGCUAGUUGGUGGGGUAAAGGCCUACCAAGGCGACGAUGCAUAGCCGACCUGGGAGGGUGAUCGGCCACACUGGGACUGAGACACGGCCCAGACUCCUACGGGAGGCAGCAGUAGGGAAUCUUCCGCAAUGGGCGAAAGCCUGACGGAGCAACGCCGCGUGAGUGAAGAAGGAUUUCGGUUCGUAAAGCUCUGUUGUUAGGGAAGAAUGAUUGUAUAGUAACUAUAUACAGUAGAGACGGUACCUAACCAGAAAGCCACGGCUAACUACGUGCCAGCAGCCGCGGUAAUACGUAGGUGGCAAGCGUUGUCCGGAAUUAUUGGGCGUAAAGCGCGCGCAGGUGGUUUAAUAAGUCUGAUGUGAAAGCCCACGGCUCAACCGUGGAGGGUCAUUGGAAACUGUUAAACUUGAGUGCAGGAGAGAAAAGUGGAAUUCCUAGUGUAGCGGUGAAAUGCGUAGAGAUUAGGAGGAACACCAGUGGCGAAGGCGGCUUUUUGGCCUGUAACUGACACUGAGGCGCGAAAGCGUGGGGAGCAAACAGG
rnacentral:rRNA from 1 species